GGCCCCAGAGCCGUGCCGGAAGUCCCGCCUCUCCGCACAUGUCUCCGCCCCAUCCGUCCAGGGCUACUUUCCGGUUCCGAAGACCAACUACGGGGUCUAGUACUGCUCUUUCCUCACCGUGUAACAGAACGGAAUGAAAAGUAUGACACCUUUAAAGCAGCGGGCUCCAACCUUUUUGGCACCAGGGACCCAGUUUCGUGGAAGGUAGUUUUUCCACCGACAGGGUGGCGGGGGACUGGUUCAGGCGGUAGUGCACGCGAUGGGGAGAGGCACAUGAAGCUUCGCUCGUUCGCCCACCGCUCACCUCCUGCUGUGCAGCCCGCUCCCUGACAGGCCAAGGACCAGGACCCCUGCUUUAAAGGAUGAGCCUGGGAGGCAGAGCCUUGAGAAUGGGCUGUAUUUCAGGCUAAGGGCAACAUUCCUUUACAAAGGUGCAGAGUCACCAUAACUAAGAACAGACAACAGAGCAAACAGAUUAAAGAUUAAAGGAACAGAUCCAAUAUGGAGUCAGGUUUGUUCUCCCUUACACGUCUCACCCAUUCUCGAGGGCUAUCUCAGAAGUCAUCUCCUUGAUACUUCCCUUGAAACACCCAAUCUCUGAAGUCAUUUCCUGCUUUCCUACUUGAACAGCAUCUGGCACUUAUUGCUGUCUUUUAUUAACCACUACCACUGGCAGCAGUGUCCCUCUUUUCUUGCAUCAGCUAUUCCAAAACUUUACGCUGUCAAGUUUCCUACCCUGACGGACAGCUGCCACAGGUCUUGCCUGUUAUCCCUAGGGGAGCAAUAUCUUGGGAUACAUAGAACCACCUCCCUCACUGCUCCCUUCCCACACCCAUGUUGGGAGUCUCCACUUGUCUCCCUUUGAUCCAAAUAAAUUAAACCCCUUGAGUGCAGAGACGGUCAUCCUAUGCACUCUGUAUGAAAAUGACUAAAUGAAACGCUUUCAGGAGCAGUCUGACAUAGAAUACAGGCUCUAGUUUACACCUAUGGAACCCCUUGACAAAACUGCUGAUCUGCCCUUGACUGGGGACUCAUUUACCAACAUCCCCUCUGCCCACUGCUGCAGUCAGCCAUGUUGUAAGCUAUAACACUUCCUGUUCCCUGGACUAGGGACCCUUUGCUUUUUCCUCCUCACUGGGUUUGGAGGUUGUUUUCGUCUUAUAUUUACUAAGUUUUCUGUUUGAGGGCCUACUUGGUUGAAGGAAACGGAAACUGAUCCUAGUUUCCCCUUCAGAAUUAGGAGCUGUCUUUGACCAGAUUAAAACACCACCGAAGGUGGGUAAUAUUAAGACAUGCAUUUUUCUAAAUGUUUACUCUGGCUGCAGUAUGGAGAACAGAUGGGAGAGGUGCCAAAAUGUGUGUGAGACCAGAUAAGAAUCUAUUGCAGGGCCACAGAGAGAUGCUUAAACUAAAAAGUGUGGAAAAAAAGCAAACAAAACAAAUUUAAGAAAUCUUUAGGAGGUAAGAGAAAUUGGUGGUAAAUUAGAUUAAGGGUAAGGGAGAGGAAGGCAUCAAGAUAAUUAUUAGGUUCCAGGUUUGGGCAAUUGGGUAGUAUGGUGUCAUUCACUGUGAUGUGGAAUGAUGGAACAUGACUAAUGGCUUCCUCCUUACCAAAAGACUCAAAUGGCUUUGCCUGCCAAAGGGCAAAAUGAGUAAAGAUGGGAUGGGACCUCAGAAGGAGAACUUGAGAAAGAAAAAGAUGGGUUAAAGAACUCAGAGGAUAAAUAAAUAAAUAAAUAAAUAAAUAAAUAAAUAAAUAAAAGAACCCAGAGGAGGAGCGGAGGUGUAAAGAAAACAGUAUCAGAACUAAAACAGUAGAAUUCCAUAACUUACCUUGAUCAUUAGUAUCGGUGGACACUGCCCACUGUGUGUCCCAGGUCCUUGCACAGAUGUUUUCACUAUAUCUGACAUCUAAUGACCAAUCAGGGGCCAAGGAAAAUUUUAGCAAAAAAGAUUUCCAUUUUGGUUGGUAUCAAAAUUUUAUUAUUGGUAAUAACUUUGAAGCUGUCAGUAAGAAAGUAAUUUAUUUCACCAAAAACAUUUUACUUCAGAAGAACAUCUCUUUGAUCUAGGAUCAAAGGUCAGUGACCUGGAAAUUAUAUAUAUAUAUAUGUAUAAUCUGGAGCAGACUUCUGUUCUAAAACAGUUAUUGACUAAUUUUACAGAGGAAGGAACCAAAAACAACUGAGGUCUUAAGAAGUUUAUUUAAGUCAUAUGAUAAAAGGUUCUGGCUAGCAUACUAGCAAUAUCCUGCCUCCUAUUUUACUCAGAUGUAUUGCUUUGUCUCAGGUCAUUUCAUGAAUACACACACAUAUACACAUAAGUGAUUGCAAAUAUCUAUAGAGCACAGGUCACCGUGCCUACUCUACCUAAGGCAAGGAUUUUUUUUUAAGAUUUUUUUUUUUUGCGGUACAUGGGCCUCUCACUGUUGUGUUGUGGCCUCUCCCGUUGCGGAGCACAGGCUCCGGACGCGCAGACUCAACGGCCAUGGCUCACGGGCCCAGCCGCUCCGCGGCAUGUGGGAUCUUCCCGGAUUGGGGCACGAACCUGUGUCCCCUGCAUUGGCAGGCGGACUCUCAACCACUGCGCCACCAGGAAAGCCCAAGGCAAGGAUUUUUUUUAAAAAAGAUACUUCAUAACCAUGUUUUUGAAAGCUUAGGGUUUCGUGGAAGUGCCUUAGGAAGCUUGUUAAGAGUGAGGUGGAGGCUGAACAGUGGGCCUAUGGGUCCCAUUCGCGCUUCAACUGGACCUGCUCCCAUCUAUUUUAGAUAUCGGAUGAUUACACUUCUAUGUUACUAUUCUUUUGAAAAUCCAGUUCUGUUAACAAAGUUUGAAAACCACUGUACUUGAUUAAGGACUAGGGUAUGAAUUUGAGUAUGUACACACUACAGCCAAGAGCCUUCACCACAGGUCAUAGGCAUAUAGACACAGGGUCAGAAUACACAGGACCAUUAACACCACAGAUAUUUGGAGUCCAGAAUAAUCACAAAUUGUUAAUCCUGAUAAUGGCUAAGGGGAAAGAUGUUGGCAGGCAGGCAGGCACUUAAGUUACUAUCUACUAAAACAAGAUGCUAUCGUUACUGAAUUGCAACUUCUCUGGAUAAACCAGGGUUAACCUGUGAAAGCUUACGGACCUGUCUUCAGGCACAGUAAAGCUAGAACUGUGUAAGAGUCCUUUAGAGAUGAAAUAUUUUGAUGUCCAUGCUGCACUUUCCUCAGAACCACUUUGCUACAGAAAACUCUGAUCCUGCCCUAAUAUGACUGCUCUCAAUUGGAGUGUGAACUUGGACAGUAUUCUGACAAUUAAUGAAUAUAAAGGUGUGUUGUAAUGUCUUAAUGAAAAUGGUAUCAGGCCAAGGUCUCUCUUUUCUUUCUUUUUAAAAUUCUAUAUGGCUCACUGCCUGUGGAGAAACAGGAGUGCCCUCAACUAACUGCUACUUUUCAGUCUGUUCAGCAGCUUAAACUUGAACUUGUGCAUCAGAUCCUUCUAAGGCCAAAAGAACAUUGCCUUUAAGUGCCAAAUACAUUAGUUACUCCCAUGAGCCAAGUAAUCAACUUAGGAUCCCUGGUACAUUUCUUUGGUUCAGCUGCAAGGCCCCCCUGCUCAGAGAGCUUCCGCUCUUCCAUCUCCAGCUCAGGCGUGGCCAGUAGGCAUCCAAUACCUGCUCCAAAGUUUUAGAAGUAACUUAAGUCAUAGAAUCAAAAUUGCUCGCGAGUCUUCCUGAUAUAUGUCAGCAAUUCUGUUAAUUCAUUGAAGAAAAAAAAAAAGGAAUGUGAAUGUUUACUUUCAUUAAAUCUGUGCUCAAUGAUUUUACAGCAAAGAACAUAUAUAAGUGUUGCACACAAAAUGAAAUUAAUUAACAGACAGGUUAUAUACUGAAGUACAAAAACAAGUGUUUGACUUGGAAAUUGAACUUUAUUUACAAAUGUUCUCCUAUAGACAAAGAUUCCAUUCCACCCCCUUUAAAAUAUUAUAACUAAUACUUCCCAGAAAAAUCAUUUACAUUGUUUUAAUCUUUCUGCAUAAAACAGUAUUAUGGGAUAAGCAAAUAUGGGAUGGUCUAAGACAUAAAAAAACAAAAGACAAUUUAUCCACCAUGAAUGCUCUACUGACUGACAGAAUGAAGAAUUACAAAUCACACCCCUUAAUGUGCUACUCCGAGAAACGGAAACGUGAUAAUUUGGGGAGGUAAAUGCUUCACAAUAAAGUCUUCUUACGUAGUAUGGUUUAAUGGUGAUUGUUAGGAUUGCUCCUGCAGGCUGCUAUUUAUGCUGAUUUUAAAAAAUAAGUCAUUGUUAAAAAGGGCAUAGACUUUUCUAUACAGAUUUUUUUUUUACCUAUGGAAAUAUGUAGAUACUGACCUGGUCUCAUCAUUCAGGCCAAUUAAUAAAAUAACAAACGCAUGAAAAGAACUUAAAACUUAAAGACACAAUCAUCAUGUGACUAACUGACUUACAAAGUUAGAAUUCUCCCAGAAAUCAGAGUAUUGCUCUUCAAUAGUUACUAUGAAUUUGAAUUUUUCAUAGCUGAGACAGUAUACAGACAAAAUAUUUAACCAAAGAGUUCAAAAUAAAAUAAUCCAAAUUUCCUAUCUAACAUUUUAUAUUUUAAAAAUCCUUUAAAUUUUAUCUAGGAGGAUAAUCAUUCUUACAUCAUAGCUAAGUCACAAGGAACUUUGAAAAAAAAAUUCAUCCCUGAGAAGUCAAAGAAAGAAACCUCUAAAAACACAGAAGUGACAGUCCUGCACCCUUUUAACAAUCUUUACCAUAGCAUGAACUUUUAUCAGCAGUCAGCAAUCAAAUGUAUUUCAAUCUGGCCUCUGAUGAUCUGAUCUUUUUGCAAUAAAACUAUAAGUGCAACAUUUAAAAAAAUCAGAUAAAUAGGGACUCUGGUUUUAUUGGCAGGUUUACAUUUUUGUCAAGUCCAAGGUCAGCCAGCUAAGAUAUGUAUGUUCCAAUAAAGACUGAAGUAAUAACUUCUGCUGGCAGCUCUUCUCCUGAGUCUCCAUUUCCCCCAUUGAUCUUCACCCAAAUAGUAAAAGUAAUAUAAUCGCAAUUGAGUUUACUAUUAUCAAUGGCACUGCAAAGAAAAAAAAACAA